rnacentral:rRNA from 1 species
UUUAUUGGAGAGUUUGAUCCUGGCUCAGGACGAACGCUGGCGGCGUGCCUAAUACAUGCAAGUCGAGCGAAUCUGAGGGAGCUUGCUCCCAAAGAUUAGCGGCGGACGGGUGAGUAACACGUGGGCAACCUGCCUGUAAGACUGGGAUAACUCCGGGAAACCGGGGCUAAUACCGGAUAAUUCAUUUCCUCUCAUGAGGGAAUGCUGAAAGACGGCAUCUCG